rnacentral:miRNA from 1 species
UAGGCUUUAGGAGAGCUGA